AAUAUCUCAUUAUCACAUUUACAAGCUGUAGACUUAAAACCCUCCACAGAAUUGAGGUCCUCCUCUUCCACCGACAUCGUAUCAUUGGUUUCAGUAAUUUGGACUGAGCAAGACCUAAGAAAGUUCACAUUUACCUCUGUAGCUUCGACCGAUCUCGACUGUGUACCCGUUUCCUUUGAGUUCAGACUUUCGUUUCUAGCCACCUCCAAUUCAGAAUCUUUACCCUGAAUUCUCAUUGGGCCUUCUCCACAUUCAACAUUGCUGUCCAGAUUCUGAUCAGGAAACCUCCUAAAAGACAGUUUCCGCUUUCUAUAUCUAGUAGCUCUUUUCUGUUUCCUUCGAAAAGACUUUACUGCAUAAUCGUGAAUAUAUCCCGAUUCAGUUUGUAUCUUCAACUCAUCUUCGUUAUUCUCCAAACCAUGUGCAAUGUCAUCCUUGACAGUGAGUUUGGGACAUGAAUGCUUUCCUUCCUUGUCAUCUCCGUUAUAUAAUUGCUGUUUUCCACCGUCGUUCUGCUCAACAAUAGGAAGACUUCCACCUAAGAUAU
rnacentral:lncRNA from 1 species